rnacentral:rRNA from 1 species
CCCUUAGAGUUUGAUCCUGGCUCAGAGCGAACGCUGGCGGCAGGCUUAACACAUGCAAGUCGAGCGCCCCGCAAGGGGAGCGGCAGACGGGUGAGUAACACGUGGGAACGUACCCUUUGGUUCGGAACAACCCAGGGAAACUUGGGCUAAUACCGGAUAAGUCCGUAAGGAGAAAGAUUCAUCGCCAAAGGAUCGGCCCGCGUCUGAUUAGCUAGUUGGUGGGGUAAUGGCUCACCAAGGCUACGAUCAGUAGCUGGUCUGAGAGGAUGAUCAGCCACAUUGGGACUGAGACACGGCCCAAACUCCUACGGGAGGCAGCAGUGGGGAAUAUUGGACAAUGGGCGCAAGCCUGAUCCAGCCAUGCCGCGUGAGUGAUGAAGGCCUUAGGGUUGUAAAGCUCUUUUAGCAGGGAAGAUAAUGACGGUACCUGCAGAAAAAGCCCCGGCUAACUUCGUGCCAGCAGCCGCGGUAAUACGAAGGGGGCUAGCGUUGCUCGGAAUCACUGGGCGUAAAGCGCACGUAGGCGGCUUCUUAAG